GAACAACACAUCACUAACUCACACACACACACACACACACACACACACACACACACACACAGAGUCGAGCUGCACUCACACAUGAAAAGGAACUCCAAAUAUGGUCAUGUAAGGUUACGCAAGCUCGUCACACAUUUACUUUCGUUUUGGAAGGUUUCAAGGCGUUGGCGAUUCAAUGGCGCACAAUACAGAAAGCAAGAGAGACCAAAGUCCAAGUGGUGAUCGUCCCAACAUGAGUGAUCUGAGGAUUGUUCUGGUGGGGAAGAAUGUGUCAGAAAACAACAGAGUGACAAACUUAAUCUUAAAUAAUAAUCUUAAAUAUGCAUUUGGAAAGAAUUGACUCCUAGAUG